rnacentral:rRNA from 1 species
AUUGAACGCUGGCGGCAGGCCUAACACAUGCAAGUCGAACGGUAACAGAAAGCAGCUUGCUGCUUUGCUGACGAGUGGCGGACGGGUGAGUAAUGUCUGGGAAACUGCCUGAUGGAGGGGGAUAACUACUGGAAACGGUAGCUAAUACCGCAUAACGUCGCAAGACCAAAGAGGGGGACCUUCGGGCCUCUUGCCAUCGGAUGUGCCCAGAUGGGAUUAGCUUGUUGGUGGGGUAACGGCUCACCAAGGCGACGAUCCCUAGCUGGUCUGAGAGGAUGACCAGCCACACUGGAACUGAGACACGGUCCAGACUCCUACGGGAGGCAGCAGUGGGGAAUAUUGCACAAUGGGCGCAAGCCUGACGCAGCCAUGCCGCGUGUAUGAAGAAGGCCUUCGGGUUGUAAAGUACUUUCAGCGGGGAGGAAGGGAGUAAAGUUAAUACCUUUGCUCAUUGACGUUACCCGCAGAAGAAGCACCGGCUAACUCCGUG